rnacentral:rRNA from 1 species
UACAGAGGGUGCAAGCGUUGUUCGGAAUUAUUGGGCGUAAAGGGAGUGUAGGCGGUUUGCUAAGUCUUCUGUGAAAUCUACGGGCUCAGCCUGUAACGUGCAGAGGAAACUGACAGACUUGAGUGUCGGAGAGGAUAGUGGAAUUCCCGGUGUAGAGGUGAAAUUCGUAGAGAUCGGGAGGAACACCAGUGGCGAAGGCGACUAUCUGGCUGACAACUGACGCUGAGACUCGAAAGCAUGGGGAGCAAACGGG